CUCGUAGGUGGUUCAGUAAGUCGGAUGUGAAAACUCGGGGCUCAACCCCGAGACGCCAUCCGAUACUGCUGUGACUUGAGUUCGGUAGAGGAGUGUGGAAUUCCUGGUGUAGCGGUGAAAUGCGCAGAUAUCAGGAGGAACACCGACAGCGAAGGCAGCACUCUGGGCCGAUACUGACACUGAGGAGCGAAAGCAUGGGGAGCAAACAGGAUUAGAUACCCUGGUAGUCC
rnacentral:rRNA from 1 species